AUGUAUUACCCUCACCCUACGGCCCCCCCCUCCUCCGCAGAACCAGGAAGUGUGAACAGGAAGCAGCUGUCCCUCACAUCCGCCUGCUCGUCCUUGGCCAGGUGCAUCCUGGGAACGGAGCAAUGUGUGACUGUCGGCAUGCGGUCGACACUGUACAAGGAACUGGGACUUCAGUUCCACAGGGCAACAAAGAGGUUAAACUCAUCUACGUCUGCUCUUCAUUUGACUUUUUAGGAUGCGACAGUUUUCAGGACAUGAGUCCCAUGAAUGAUGAAUUGCAAUAAGGCUGUUGCAAAAAUAGCAGAUCAAUGCAAAUUGACAGUAUGGAAGAUGUGUGAGUGUCAUGUCAUGCGACAAUGAAGCUUGUAUUCGACUUAUUUGAAGCCAUUUGUUAGCUCUGUGGACUUUGCUCUCUUUCUCGACUAUGACGUCACACUAGUCUUUCCAAAAAUGGGAAUAUAGGAGAUAAAAAUGGUAGAUGGCGUACACUUAAAGAGUGCUUUACUACCUCCAUAGAAGGCCCAAAACGCCUUACAGUUCACCCAUUCACAAACUCAUUCCCACACUGACGGUGGCUCCGCAUUUGACCUAUAACCACGUGGGGUUCAGUGUCUUGCUAAAGGAUGCUUCGAUGCAUGGGCGGGCAAAGCAUGAACCGAACAUGCAAUCAGAGUUUGACUGCUCUACCUCUCCACCACAGUCGUACAAACAGGAUAACAGUUAUUGGAACACAUCCAGCAAGGCUGCUCUGGAGCUGACAGUUCAACGAUCACCUGUCAAUCAAAAGCCACACCUCUUUGUGCAAUUCUGAAGAAAAUGCAAAAUUAAAAGAUGAGGUUCAUAAAAGUAAUACGUUUGUUUCUGUUGGAUCAGUUUAGACUGCAGCCAUAGACUCAGCAAGCGACGUCAUGUUUGCCGUGUGAACUGACCUGGCUCCAACUUUGUUUUUUUAAAUGAGCCUUAAGUUGAAAGUCCAAAAGGUUCUCAGUUUCGAUUCAUGUGGCUUCAGACAGAGGUGUGCGAUGACCAGCAGGCAGCCUAUAAACAACACUUCUCUUAGCUUAAAUUAAAAAACCAAAGUCGGGAUGGAAAUAAUGAACUUUAAGUUGACGAUGACUUUUCGUUGGCCCUGAAGUGUAAAUCCUUUCAACAAAUCACUCAACGCAAAAAAUAUUAAAGAUCACAAUGACAAUAAAAAAAUGCAAAGCAAAUAAUACAAAAAUAAAUUUACAUUAAAAAAAGACAAAAACAAAAGUAAUCUCCAGAAAUAAAAAAUGAGAUAAAAAAAUGAAACAAAACAAGAAACCUGAAAAGAGACUGUAGUCAUUAUGAGAUUAAUUAACUGGAUGAUAACGUUUGUUCACCUUUUCAACCGGAAGACAUUUGGCAUGCCAAAAUCUACCGACAGGAGAUAUUUAUCCAAGCAUUUGGCCACAGCCACUGCAAAAGUUUAGUGAUUGCUCGAUGAACUCUUUACCACACAUCAGGGAAAACAUCCUUCUGCUUUCCCACUUCUUCAAAACUCAAAUAUCAUCAUCCAAUCAGUGAUGUCCCAUAAUUUUUCUCAUUGUAUUUCAUUUUUCAACACUUAAUUAAUUUCUGGAAAUUACUUUUCUUUGUUGAAAUAUUACGUUUUUAUUGUUUUGGGAAUUUAGUUUUGAUUUUUAAAGCAAAAUGUUGUUUUUUAAUUAUUUGUUUUGUUUUAUUAAUUGUC
ensembl:lncRNA